AAUCAAUAUCUGAGAAAACAUUACAGAACAUCUGUUUGCAUUAUAAAUGUGUGUGAGCAUGUUUACAAGAAUCGUCUAUUAUAUUAACCUACAAUAAUUAUGAUAGUAAAAACAAAGAAAACAAUUAUUUGUUUCAGAUAUAUUUUUGUUCCCUAAUGCCCAUCCCCUAUUCCUUAUCACUGUAAAUGACAACAAUAACCUUGGCUAGAGGUUUUUUUUUUGUCCUUUUAAAUUGUUUUGUGACUAAAACGUUGUUGAUGUUGCAUUGCAAUCUUGUAUUUGCAAUUAGAAUAUUAUACACCUUGUUUUAAUUUAACUACUGUUGGAUUACUUGAUUGUGUUUCGUGUACAUGUGGAAUCUAAAAAAAUUUAGCUGAAAUUUGUAAUGUACAUGUCUUUUGAAAUAUACAGCAUGUGUAAAAUCCAUAGUUGAAAGUUUUGGGGUUCAAGAUUGAUUUUCCAAAUAAGAAACAUAAAUUAUUUUGAAAAUUAUAUAUCAUUUUCUAUAAAAUAGGAGUGAAAACAAGGGACAGGCAUUGAGAACGGGGGCUGGGAACAGGGGCUAGGGAUGAAGGGACAGUGGCUGAGAACGGGGACAAGGGGUCAGGACGGGGAACUGGGGACUGCUGGUCGAUUCGGUAAAUGCUGGGGUCGAUUUAACAUUCCUCUUGAUUUAAAACAAGAAUAUUACGCACGUGCUUGUCACGAAGAUUGAAACAUCAUGAACCCUGCUAGAAUGAAGAGUUUCUGGACAUGCAACGCGAGCUUUCGCUCUGUUCUUGAUGAGCCUCAAGGUUUUGCAUGCGACCUGCAUUGCUUCCGCAGGCUGCAUCGAGACCGAUCGGUGUGGAGCUUGCUAUGCUUCCACAAGUUGAUUCAAGGUCUACUCAUAUCUCGCUUCCCCGUCAGCCGAUAGCGAGUGCUUCCGAGGAUUCCGAUGCGACGAGAGAAGGUGCCCGACAUUUUCCAAGCAUCGUCUAACAGAGGAGGCUCUGUUUCACAAAUACGUGGUCUACGCUGCCCGCGGUGUGGUGCCUCGCUUCUGUCACCUCUGAAACGCCGUUCACAGGGGAUGCAAAUGUCUUUCUGGUCGGAAUCCUCUCACUCUUGUGUGUCACUGCCGUCGUGCUAAAGGGCGGUCAGGUUGGCCCGCACUACUCCGUGAUACAUGAUGCAAUGCAAGCUGCAAUUCAACCCUCGACUGGGCUGGUCAACAAAUCUGGGAGGUUCGAAACGAUGAGUCAGCUUUAAGCUUGUGGAUCCUAUGUUAAUAUCGUCAUGCCAUAACGACAAAGAUGAGCUUCUGAACUUAUUCUUGCUUUGCGAUACAUUGGAUACGUUAUGCUGAUUUUUAUUUUAGAAUAAAGUGAAACUCUAUGAGAAUGAAGAAGCUCUUUACUAACAUUCGUUAUUCUAGAGGCGUUAGCUGUUUCUUGGUUUCACUCAUUCAUCGUUUAUUCAUCCACCCGUCUUUAGUCAUCUUCUUUUGCUGCUUCGUUCGUUUUUUGUUUUUUUAAAUAUUUUUCUUCUUUAUCGAGAAAGACUUGGCUGAGUUUCGACUGCGGAGGCCAGCUUUGUCAGAAAGCUUCACCACCUGGUCAGGUAGGAGGGGGUGGAGGUUCUGCCAACACAGCUAGAUCAUCCCUGAAGGUGCGGGCCUCAUGAAUAAUCGACACUGUAGCUGGAGUUCUUCCUGAUGCUUGCGAGAAUCGCUGCUCCACUCCAGAUUGUAGUCGCAGGUGGUGAAGCAGAAGGAGACAUAGAUAUAGAUGUAGAUGUAGAAGAUGAUGAAGGAGAAGAUGAAGUGCAAGAGGUGGAGUAAGUAUAAGGAGGGAGGGAGGGAGGGAAGAGGAAGUGAGUAGGCCGGUGUCCACUUCAUGGAGCAAUCGCCAUUUAUGAGCCUCCCACUGCAUUGAUACCUCCUCUCCUCCUUCGAUCGCUCAUCCAUCCUCAUACUCGUUCGUACCCUUUGCUUGCUCGCUAGCUCACUUGCUGUACUAUCCUUAUAUUCAGCUACCGCAGUGGAAAUUUUCCUGGCUUCUCAUUACUCUCGUCGUCUGAAACUGCAGACAAAGGUCCGUCAGCCUUACUCCAGGGCCGACGCAGCAGCUCUUGCCAGUGCUUUCCUUCGAUGCUACUGCGUCCUUUUCAUCAAGCUCUAACUGAAAUGAAAACAAUAAAACAACACCAGGUUCGACAAGCGUUGCAUUCGAGGAUCUGACGACUUCUUCAUUGAUGGUGAGUUUUAAAAAAUACGUGUGAUCGAAAUACUUAGAUUAGUAUAAUUGAUAAUUUCUUCACCCUACAAACCAAUUCUGUGGUUGGUUUUUGAAUGUUGUAAUUGGCAAUGCGACAAGAAUAUUUGUAUACCAGUUAUUCUUAUUCUUAUUCUUAUUACUACUACUACUAAUUUCAAUUUCA